GAUGAACGCUAGCGGCGUGCUUAACGCAUGCAAGUCGAACGAGAAACGUGUCUUCGGAUGCGUGGAAAGUGGCGAACGGGUGAGUAACACGUUGGUGACCUGCCUCAGAGAGGGGGACAACCAUUGGAAACGAUGGCUAAUACCCCAGAUGUUGUCUUGUUUAGAAAGGGACAACUAAAACUCAGGUGCUCUGAGAGGGGCCAGCGUCCCAUCAGCUAGUUGGUGAGGUAACGGCUCACCAAGGCAUAGACGGGUAGGGGGCGUGAGAGCGUGACCCCCCACACUGGUACUGACACACGGACCAGAUACCUACGGGUAGCAGCAGCGAGGAAUCUUGCGCAAUGGGCGAAAGCCUGACGCAGCAACGCCGCGUGGAGGAUGAAGGCCUUCGGGUCGUAAACUCCUUUUAUCAGUGAAUAGAAAGGAAGGUAGCUGAUGAAUAAGCUCCGGCUAACUACG
rnacentral:rRNA from 1 species